rnacentral:rRNA from 1 species
UACGUAGGGGGCAAGCGUUGUCCGGAAUCAUUGGGCGUAAAGCGCGCGUAGGCGGCUCGUUAAGUCCGUUGUGAAAGUCAAAGGCUCAACCUUUGAAUGCCGAUGGAUACUGUCGAGCUAGAGUCCGGAAGAGGCGAGUGGAAUUCCUGGUGUAGCGGUGGAAUGCGCAGAGAUCAGGAGGAACACCAAUAGCGAAGGCGGCUCGCUGGGACGGUACUGACGCUAAGGCGCGAAAGCGUGGGGAGCGAACAGG